rnacentral:antisense_RNA from 1 species
CAUUAUGGUGGGGCGUGCAGGGGAGCAAAAGGCUCGCCGGGUUUCAUUGUGACCGGUAGUUCCAACCCUGUACGUCUCACCACCCAA